CUCUGACAGUUGUUGGCCGCGCCCGCGUGGGGUGGGCGGUGUCAAGUCGCCCACAUGAGCCAGGGACUUAAUAGCCACGGUGGCCAUGGUGGGGACUUGGACAUAGCUGACUGUACUCCACCGAAGAAGAAGGGGCAGAAAUCACAUCCCGGAAGGGUGGAAAGACUGUCUCCAGUGGACAGCAGAUGCCCAAGGCUCAUUUUGCUGUUUUCAAAGUUUCUUUGUAAAAGCAGAAAGUUCACAAUAAACAAGACAAAGCACUUUUUAAAGAUGGAACAAGAGAAGUCUCACCUCGCUGUUGAAGGUGACAGCUUCUGACAUGCUGCCUGCCUGUGCUCCUCUGCUAUGCAUCUCAUAACCAAGAGUCUGCAAGACGACUCAGCGGCCAAAGGCACUUGCUGUUCAAGCUUGACCCCAGUUCAACUCCUAGAGAGUCAGCUUCACAAAGCUGUCUUUUGCUUCUACAAGCACAGCAACACACCCAAGAGUAAAUGUGUUGUUCACUUAAUUAUGUUACCUUUCUUUCAAAGUUCUCAAUUUCUUAAGAAACUGCCCCCUCAUCCCCAGGAAACCAGCUGUCAUCACACAGCUUCUCUCUUUUAGAGACAUGUUUCUCCCAUCCAUUUGUCGAACCCAAGCUUCCAUCCAUUGUAAGCUCAAGCCUGG
rnacentral:lncRNA from 1 species